rnacentral:rRNA from 1 species
AUUGAACGCUGGCGGCAGGCCUAACACAUGCAAGUCGAACGGUAACAGGAAGAAGCUUGCUUCUUUGCUGACGAGUGGCGGACGGGUGAGUAAUGUCUGGGAAACUGCCUGAUGGAGGGGGAUAACUACUGGAAACGGUAGCUAAUACCGCAUAACGUCGCAAGACCAAAGAGGGGGACCUUCGGGCCUCUUGCCAUCGGAUGUGCCCAGAUGGGAUUGGCUAGUAGGUGGGGUAACGGCUCACCUAGGCGACGAUCCCUAGCUGGUCUGAGAGGAUGACCAGCCACACUGGAACUGAGACACGGUCCAGACUCCUACGGGAGGCAGCAGUGGGGAAUAUUGCACAAUGGGCGCAAGCCUGAUGCAGCCAUGCCGCGUGUAUGAAGAAGGCCUUCGGGUUGUAAAGUACUUUCAGCGGGGAGGAAGGGAGUAAAGUUAAUACCUUUGCUCAUUGACGUUACCCGCAGAAGAAGCACCGGCUAACUCCGUG